rnacentral:tRNA from 1 species
AGUGUUCCACAUUAUCUUUUCGAGAUAAAAAUGAAAAAGUAUUAUUUUUUCCCAAAAUU